AUUGAACGCUGGCGGCAGGCCUAACACAUGCAAGUCGAACGGUAACAGGAAGCAGCUUGCUGCUUUGCUGACGAGUGGCGGACGGGUGAGUAAUGUCUGGGAAACUGCCCGAUGGAGGGGGAUAACUACUGGAAACGGUAGCUAAUACCGCAUAACGUCGCAAGACCAAAGAGGGGGACCUUAGGGCCUCUUGCCAUCGGAUGUGCCCAGAUGGGAUUGGCUAGUAGGUGGGGUAACGGCUCACCUAGGCGACGAUCCCUAGCUGGUCUGAGAGGAUGACCAGCCACACUGGAACUGAGACACGGUCCAGACUCCUACGGGAGGCAGCAGUGGGGAAUAUUGCACAAUGGGCGCAAGCCUGAUGCAGCCAUGCCGCGUGUAUGAAGAAGGCCUUCGGGUUGUAAAGUACUUUCAGCGGGGAGGAAGGGAGUAAAGUUAAUACCUUUGCUCAUUGACGUUACCCGCAGAAGAAGCACCGGCUAACUCCGUG
rnacentral:rRNA from 1 species